CCCCUCUCAGGGUUGCACCUGGAGAGUUUCCAGUACUCUACCAGUCUCGAUUAUGGGAGGGAAAGUCAAGCAGAGGCAUACUCAUUCCAUUCCUAGUUUGGCCAGUGUCCGGUGAGUGGAAGGCAAUCUGCAACAAGU
rfam:Ornithorhynchus anatinus chromosome 2, whole genome shotgun sequence.